CCGGCGUGUCCGGGAACAUGGUGACGCUGGUGCCCCUGAUCCAGGAGACCACCGUAACGAACAGCAUGCCGAAGAUCAUGCUCCCCUUGACGUCCCUGGCCAGGCACGUGGCCGUGAUGAGGAAGCCGACGGCGCCGAGCCAGAACGUCGGGCUGCGCAUGGUGCCGCCGAGGCAGGCGCCGGUGACCGUGUCCACGUCGGAGCAGGCGGUGAGCGUGACCAGCGUGGACGGGCUGGCGCCGACGAGCCCGACCCCCUGGUGCGCCUGGAGGCCCGUGAAGGCGAGGAAGAGGCCGAUGCCGACCGCCGAGGCGAGGCGGAUGUUCCGCGGGAUCAUCCGCGCCAGCCUGGACCGGAGGCCGACGACGG
rnacentral:misc_RNA from 1 species